CCUACGGGUGGCAGCAGUGAGGAAUAUUGGUCAAUGGGCGCAAGCCUGAACCAGCCAAGUCGCGUGAGGGAUGACGGUCCUAUGGAUUGUAAACCUCUUUUGUCGGGGAGCAAGGCCCGCCACGUGUGGCGGGAAGGAGAGUACCCGAAGAAAAAGCAUCGGCUAACUCCGUGCCAGCAGCCGCGGUAAUACGGAGGAUGCGAGCGUUAUCCGGAUUUAUUGGGUUUAAAGGGUGCGUAGGCGGAUCGUUAAGUCAGUGGUCAAAUUGAGGGGCUCAACCCCUUCCCGACAUGGAAACUGGCGCUCUUGAGUGGAAGAGAAGUAUGCGGAAUGCGUGGUGUAGCGGUGAAAUGCAUAGAUAUCACGCAGAACCCCGAUUGCGAAGGCAGCAUGCCGGCUUCCGACUGACGCUGAAGCACGAAAGCGUGGGGAUCGAACAGGAUUAGAUACCCCUGUAGUC
rnacentral:rRNA from 1 species